UAUCAUUCAAGUCAUCUGACUCAAGUCAUGUGGAGAUUAAGUAAAAUGGCGACCUCAAUCACAACUUUUUGCUUAUCUUCUCUGACAGUUUUGUUUGCUGCUUUCGUCCACAACUCAUUAUGCACGGACAAACAAGAAACACACCUUAUUCACGUAUCAGACAAAUAUUUAUUGUAAGAGAAAAUACGCCGGGAACCUAUAUACAACAAUGGAAGAAGUUGAGGAAGUUUCUUUCUCCUAUUAUUUGCCAGCCGGCUGCACUGGAAUUAGAUACACAGAGACUGGAGGUAAAUUAGACCCAUUGUGUUUAGUUGACUUGGUGUGUGCAGCUGAUGAAAAUGAAUAUUGUGAAGAAAGGAAAUCACUUCAAGACAGACCAUGUCUUCAACCCAGUCAGCUGAGACCAUUUGGGUAUGGACUCUUGAGGCAUGGAAAUAUGUUUGAAGACAUUCAUUCCUACUUCAAGAAGUAUCUAUUUAAACCAACACCCAAAUUGAUCCAGCCUGCAAACAGACCAGAGCCAGAAAAAAACAGAACUUCAAAUUUCACCACUCCAUUAAUAAACAAUACUCAAAAUGCUGUGACACCCAGAACAGAGCAGGAGAUUUUAAAUUAUACAUAUGCUGUUCUGUGUGCAAACUAUCCCUUUUUGGUUCUUUCAAUAAGUGGCGUUGUAAAGAAUUCUCUAGACAAUGGUCAGAGCAGUUUUAGAUAUUCUAUGAUUUUCCAACCUGUUUUUGCUGAAGAAACCAACUUGAAAACGGUCUCACUGCAACUGAUCUCUUACUUACGAAGUGCCUUUAGCUUUCAAAUGUCUGAACACACUGCUUCAUUGAAUUCCAAACAGCCAGAAUUGUUGCUUGCUGAUGAUUUAGGAACAAGACUCAGUUUACUUGAGCGCAAUGUCAAUACAUUUUAUCAACCUGAGCAAUUCACUAAUAAUAAUUAUGAGAAUUGGAAAAAAGAAGAAAGGUCACUCCUUGGUUUUUUACUUCAAAUGAUUGGUCGAAACAAUAUUCCAAAAUUCAAAGACGACUCUGUUUUAAGAUUGAGUGAAAUGCACAACCAUUAUCAAUGUUUGUCUGAAAAGCUAUUUCUUUACGAUAAAAAAUGCCUGGAAGCGACCGGGAAUCAGCCGUAUGUAUAUUCCAACUAUUCUGCUUACAUCCUGGAAGAGUUUGGUCUUCGUUACGGUGUGGGUUUCCUAUUUAGGCUCAUUGUUUACCUUGAUUUACUUGUGAAAUAUUUUGAUCAAAAAUUCUCCAAGAUUAAACACAUACAUCACACCCUCCAGACUAUCUGGUCAACAUUUCCUGAGGACAAAAAAAAUUUGACUGCCACUCAAAAAGAAAUUGAAAUGCUACAAGAGAUCCUGUUAAAAUUCUUUUUGAAUGCUGCAACAUUUUUACAUGUCAUCAUCAAAUCUGAACAAACAAAUCCUGAAGCAAUUGCUGAAUAAAUGCUUGAACGACAUUCCAAACAUGAUGGAAAUGAAGACUGAGAUAUAUUGCAUGACUCAGGGGAUGUUUCUAAAACUUUA
rnacentral:misc_RNA from 1 species